AAAAAGAAUAAACGGUAUGGUCUGUGCUCAGCAAUGAGUCAGUUUACAGGGAAUCCGGUGAGAAUCCGGAACAGCCUUUCUCUACUGUGUGAGGGACGAAAGCAGCGUAAAACCACUGGAACUAUCCGGGAAGGUGCUGCUGGUAGGAAGAACUCAAGUCAGGAUAUCUGGCAUACUGCGUGAAAAAAG
rnacentral:ncRNA from 2 species